rnacentral:misc_RNA from 1 species
CAACCUUCAAGUUCAUCUUGGUGUUGGAGGAUGUCCUAUGGGAUACCCCCUAAACUUAAAGGCGAAACCCUUUGAAAAUAUCGCACAGCGGGCUAAACGCACGUGUGAUUUUUAAGGGGGCGUCGCUAAAAAUCUUUCAA